ACUCGAUAAUCCACGAAUACCCAACCUUCUCUUGAUGUUACAGCAUGUGUACUGGCCGCUGUAAGCAUACCUUUAAAAGAACAAGUGUGCCGCUAUGACUAAUAAAUAACUCAUAUACAUCAGGUCAAAGUGCAGCUAAUAAGAAGGUGACGAUGGGUUACAACCCCCAAAAAGACUAUCAACUAAGAAAUAAAAAAUCUUAAGAAAGUGGACUUGGCUGUAAUUAAUUUACAAGUUAAAAAAAUGAAUAAACACCUAAGACAUGCACACAUCGCCCGUCACUCUACCCUAAAGGGUAGAUAAGUCGUAACAAAGUAGGUGUAAUGGAAAUUGUACCUGUCGAAGUAUAGCAUAUAUAAUGCUUUUUACUUACACUAAAGACAAAGUUAAAUAACUUGCUUCGCCCACUAAAUACAAUCUUAUAAAUAAACAAAUAAUAAAAACAACUAAAAUAAAAUAUAAUAAAUAAUAAAGUACAGAAAUGGAAAUAAUAAUUAAUAAAAGUAAUUAUUAAUAAAUAUACCUUGUGCAUUAUGGUUUUACAAGAAAAUAAUUAAAGAUAAAAAUCCCGAAUUCUAAAUGAGAUGUUAAACUGCUGUUAUGAACCCACUAAUAGAUGUAGAAUAAUCUUUAAAAGACAGUUUAACAGAGGCUACAUACCAUCCGCAUAAGAAUAUAGCUGGUUUUCAACAAACAUUAUACAUUAAAACAUGUAGUAGUACUAUAGUGUAAUACUAUUGAGGAUAAGCCCAAUAAUUGGAGCAAUUUAUAGAUAAACCAAUCUUCGCCAAUAGGCCUAAAAUCAGCCAACUAAAAUACUUUAUCGUAAUACACAAUGAUAAAAUAUAUAACCAUAAAAUGCUAAAGAAAGUUGAAACAAUGGAUAAACCACCUGCCCCACUUCUACUAUGUAAAAAUAAGUAUUACAAACACAAAUUAAUAAUAACCUAGUAAAUAACACCAAAUAAGCAACAAUAAUUAAUUAAGGAACUCGGCAAAACAUUAUUUCGACUGUUUAACAAAAACAUUGUCUCAUGAAUUAUAUAUGAGAUAA
rnacentral:rRNA from 2 species